AUUGAACGCUGGCGGCAGGCCUAACACAUGCAAGUCGAGCGGAUGAAGGGAGCUUGCUCCUGGAUUCAGCGGCGGACGGGUGAGUAAUGCCUAGGAAUCUGCCUGGUAGUGGGGGAUAACGUCCGGAAACGGGCGCUAAUACCGCAUACGUCCUGAGGGAGAAAGUGGGGGAUCUUCGGACCUCACGCUAUCAGAUGAGCCUAGGUCGGAUUAGCUAGUUGGUGGGGUAAAGGCCUACCAAGGCGACGAUCCGUAACUGGUCUGAGAGGAUGAUCAGUCACACUGGAACUGAGACACGGUCCAGACUCCUACGGGAGGCAGCAGUGGGGAAUAUUGGAAAAUGGGCGAAAGCCUGAUCCAGCCAUGCCGCGGGGGUGAAGAAGGUCUUCGGAUUGUAAAGCUCUUUAAGUUGGGAGGAAGGGCAGUAAGUUAAUACCUUGCUGUUUUGACGUUACCAACAGAAUAAGAACCGGCUAACUUCGUG
rnacentral:rRNA from 1 species